ACGGAGGGUGCAAGCGUUAUCCGGAUUUAUUGGGUUUAAAGGGUGCGUAGGCGGCGAUUUAAGUCAGUGGUGAAAUGCUGCAGCUCAACUGUAGAACUGCCAUUGAAACUGAAUUGCUUGAGUGAUCUUGAAGUAGGCGGAAUGUGUAGUGUAGCGGUGAAAUGCUUAGAUAUUACACAGAACACCGAUUGCGAAGGCAGCUUACUAAGGGUUUACUGACGCUGAGGCACGAAAGCGUGGGGAUCAAACAG
rnacentral:rRNA from 1 species